CGGAGCGCCGGCGGGCACGACGCGGAGCGCGGGCGGCGCUCACGGGCUGCGGUCGGGAGGUCGUCCCCGCAGGGCUCGGCCGCGAGCCCGACCAUUAGCGUGGCUGCAGUGCGGCCGUUUCUGUGAGCGGCGUGUCCGAGGGCCCGGACCCGGGAGCUCUGUGUGGAGGCGCCGUGCAAGACUGAAUUAGGGCCGAAAAAAAUACCUUAGCCUAACGACGAAAAGCUGCGUUUAAGAGUGAAAUGCUAGUUCGCUGUAAUGCUGGAGGUCUCCAAGGAAAUAAGCUAGAGCACCGACACAGGAGAAUUGCACUUCCUAACACAUUUCCCAGCAGCAACUAGGCAGGUUCAGGAAAUGUACAGCAUCUGAUGGAGACAAGUUUCAGAUACCCAGAUCUGCCACAGGCUCUUGGUGGAAAAGCUAAGUUAUGAUGAGAUACUUCAGUACACAACACAAGCAAAAUAUUAAGAGUAAAAUAGGGAAGUAAGAAAGAGGAAGAGAAACCAAGAAAGGAAAUAAUCUACAGCAAUCUCAGAAACCUAAUUCCAGAGUGCCAGGAGGUACCGCUCAGGCAAACAGACCUAGAUUUCAAAACGAAUUGGAAAGAAAGAACGAAGAGAAUGUUUUCAGUUCUCAGCUCCGACCUAUUUGGGGUUUAAGAUUAAAAGGCUCCGGCAAACCAGUAGAAGCUGACCCAGUUCACUGCAAUGACUGCAGGCUUUGUCUCCGGCCCCUCUGUCCCGCCCCCAGUCCGCGGGGUCCGUCCCCCGGCGUCCAGCCCCGCAUCUCCAAGGUCUCCCGGCGGGUACCGGGCUGCAGGCCGCCAACCCCUCGGGGCCCGCAGACGGCUUCGAGCUGACCAGUUCCCAGGCUGCAACCUUGGCCCCUUCUAAUCCAGUCUCUGCAGUGCCACCAGGGGUGACUCUGUGACACCUGGCCGGUAUCUGAGCACACACGGUGUGAUCGUUGUCUGCUGCUUGAAUUGGUUAUUUUCCAAGCAGUCACCUACAUCCUUCAAGCUUUCCGUAUUUCACUGGAUCCAAGACGCUCCGAUACUUCGUGCUUUCUCGGCCUUAUCUGCACCGAGAGGUUUUCACACCCGCGGCUGGAAGAGCCGCGAAGAAUGAAUACAUCAGAGUAUUUCUCAAAAUGUGGUCUUGCCUGGGAACUAGUUAGAAAUACACAUUUGCUGGCCCAACUGAAGACCAUCGAGUCAGAACCGGGUAGCGGCCAGUAUCUUAUCAGGUCAUAUCACUCACGACAGACUGAUGUUCCCUGAGGUCAAGUGUCCAUCCUACGACCAAUCGCCUGCGACCCGACACGGAGGCAGGUGGGAGAGCGCGGGCGACAGAUGUUAACAGUUAGGGGCACCCUGGGCAGCUCCCCAAGGGGCGUGCGACUGGCACUGCCGGACACACCUCAACUAGUAGUAGUAACUUCGCAGCCAUAAAGUGCUAUUCUUGUGAAGACAAUGGAAUGCUGAUGUUUCAUGCUAAUUUUAUUUUUAUUGUUUAUAUUUUAAAACUAUAACUUUGAUAUUUGAAACUUCCAAGCUUUUUGAUAGUUUCACAUGCUUCAUAAGUAAUUUUGUCUGCAAAGUCAAUUUUUUGUCAUAAUGUCUUCAGUUAAUCAUCUUCUGUCCGCUCUUCAGCUGUAUAUUUCAUUUAUAUUUAGGUAUCUUUGAUAAUCAUUUGUUCAUAAAGAAAAAAAACACGCUCUGACUGGGACAAAGGGAACGAACACCUUCCUGUUUCCAAUGCUUGCCUCUGAAAGGGUCGUUUCAUGAACGAAACACCCAAACUGCUGUGCUAUUUCAGCGUUCCCGGGACGUGGGCGUGGCCGUGCCCUUUGCCCCGGCUGUAGGGCCUCGCACUGAGCGACCCGAGGGCAGCCUCGCUCCCCUUCUUGCCCCCCUGCAGUGCUGUCACCACCGCCGUCACGAUCUUCUCAACGUUUCAUGGUCGGUCCUGUUUUCCCUUUGCUUGAAGUGUUUCAGCGAUGUUUUAGGGGAAGGCCAAGAUCCUGAACAGGGCUUCGGGGCCUCCACUUACAGGCCUUCCUUAAGGUUAUUUUAAAACUUACGAAAACAAACUUACUAAAAGAUAGCAUAGUUUGACAAAUCUCCAUACCAGUUUCCCUAAUAAUCAAGAACUGGCCACACUGCAUUCCACAAAAAUAUGCCCAUCUUAUUUAUUUUCAUCUCUUGUCUAGCCAGGUUAACCUGUCUUCUAGGGUAAGAAGGUGUGUUCAAAGCGCAGCCUUGCUGGGGCCAGUAUUUCUUUCUUUGGAUUUCAGUUUGUUCAUCUGUAACUGGAAGUAGGAACAGUGAAUAUAUCAUACAAUCACUGUGAAUAAUAAACGUAUUCAUACAUUAAAAACACUUAAAAACUGUCUGGCAUAUAGUGUAUGCUGAAUAAACGAGGUCAUUGUCACUAUCACAAGUCACUCGAACCUCUGCGCAGCCUACAGGCACUAUUCUUACCCUCUCGGACAUUGUUCGGUGCAUGUCUACCAACAGUUUAAAUGUCACAUCUUCAGGGAAGACUUGCCCAACCUCCCCAGAAUAGGCUAAACUGUCUUACUACACUUACUAAAGCUUUCCCAGCAUGGCACUGAUUGCAAAUUAUUAAUUUGUGAGGUUGAGUACCACACGUCUCUCCAGUACAAAAAGACCCAUGACGAGAGAAUGGUAUCUGUUUGGCUCCAUUUUAAAUUCCCAACACCUACGACAUCGUAGGUACUCAAAACAUUCAUUUUGUAUUUAAGGAUCAGUUUCUUUUCACCUUACUUGUUUGGGUAAAAUUCUCUGCUGUCAACAUGUAUAAACUAAUUAUGAUAAU